UUAAAUUGAAGAGUUUGAUCAUGGCUCAGAUUGAACGCUGGCGGCAGGCCUAACACAUGCAAGUCGAACGGUAACAGAAAGCAGCUUGCUGCUUUGCUGACGAGUGGCGGACGGGUGAGUAAUGUCUGGGAAACUGCCCGAUGGAGGGGGAUAACUACUGGAAACGGUAGCUAAUACCGCAUAACGUCGCAAGACCAAAGAGGGGGACCUUCGGGCCUCUUGCCAUCGGAUGUGCCCAGAUGGGAUUAGCUAGUAGGUGGGGUAACGGCUCACCUAGGCGACGAUCCCUAGCUGGUCUGAGAGGAUGACCAGCCACACUGGAACUGAGACACGGUCCAGACUCCUACGGGAGGCAGCAGUGGGGAAUAUUGCACAAUGGGCGCAAGCCUGAUGCAGCCAUGCCGCGUGUAUGAAGAAGGCCUUCGGGUUGUAAAGUACUUUCAGCGGGGAGGAAGGGAGUAAAGUUAAUACCUUUGCUCAUUGACGUUACCCGCAGAAGAAGCACCGGCUAACUCCGUGCCAGCAGCCGCGGUAAUACGGAGGGUGCAAGCGUUAAUCGGAAUUACUGGGCGUAAAGCGCACGCAGGCGGUUUGUUAAGUCAGAUGUGAAAUCCCCGGGCUCAACCUGGGAACUGCAUCUGAUACUGGCAAGCUUGAGUCUCGUAGAGGGGGGUAGAAUUCCAGGUGUAGCGGUGAAAUGCGUAGAGAUCUGGAGGAAUACCGGUGGCGAAGGCGGCCCCCUGGACGAAGACUGACGCUCAGGUGCGAAAGCGUGGGGAGCAAACAGGAUUAGAUACCCUGGUAGUCCACGCCGUAAACGAUGUCGACUUGGAGGUUGUGCCCUUGAGGCGUGGCUUCCGGAGCUAACGCGUUAAGUCGACCGCCUGGGGAGUACGGCCGCAAGGUUAAAACUCAAAUGAAUUGACGGGGGCCCGCACAAGCGGUGGAGCAUGUGGUUUAAUUCGAUGCAACGCGAAGAACCUUACCUGGUCUUGACAUCCACGGAAGUUUUCAGAGAUGAGAAUGUGCCUUCGGGAACCGUGAGACAGGUGCUGCAUGGCUGUCGUCAGCUCGUGUUGUGAAAUGUUGGGUUAAGUCCCGCAACGAGCGCAACCCUUAUCCUUUGUUGCCAGCGGUCCGGCCGGGAACUCAAAGGAGACUGCCAGUGAUAAACUGGAGGAAGGUGGGGAUGACGUCAAGUCAUCAUGGCCCUUACGACCAGGGCUACACACGUGCUACAAUGGCGCAUACAAAGAGAAGCGACCUCGCGAGAGCAAGCGGACCUCAUAAAGUGCGUCGUAGUCCGGAUUGGAGUCUGCAACUCGACUCCAUGAAGUCGGAAUCGCUAGUAAUCGUGGAUCAGAAUGCCACGGUGAAUACGUUCCCGGGCCUUGUACACACCGCCCGUCACACCAUGGGAGUGGGUUGCAAAAGAAGUAGGUAGCUUAACCUUCGGGAGGGCGCUUACCACUUUGUGAUUCAUGACUGGGGUGAAGUCGUAACAAGGUAACCGUAGGGGAACCUGCGGUUGGAUCACCUCCUUACCUUAAAGAAGC
rnacentral:rRNA from 1 species